rnacentral:rRNA from 1 species
GAUGAACGCUAGCGAUAGGCUUAACACACGCAAGUCGAGGGGCAGCACAAGGUAGCUUGCUAUCUGGGUGGCGACCGGCGCACGGGUGCGUAACGCGUAUGCAACUUGCCCUAUACAGGAGGAUAACCCGUCGAAAGACGGACUAAUACUGCGUAUGCUCACAACUUGGCAUCAAGUGGUGAGGAAAGAAAUUCGGUAUAGGAUAGGCAUGCGUCCCAUUAGCUUGUUGGUGAGGUAACGGCUCACCAAGGCAACGAUGGGUAGGGGAACUGAGAGGUUUAUCCCCCACACUGGUACUGAGACACGGACCAGACUCCUACGGGAGGCAGCAGUGAGGAAUAUUGGUCAAUGGGCGCGAGCCUGAACCAGCCAAGUCGCGUGAAGGAUGACUGUCUUAUGGAUUGUAAACUUCUUUUAUACGGGAAUAACAAGAGUCACGUGUGACUCCCUGCAUGUACCGUAUGAAUAAGCAUUGGCUAACUCCGUG